rnacentral:rRNA from 1 species
GACGAACGCUGGCGGCGUGCUUAACACAUGCAAGUCGAACGGAAAGGCCCUGCUUUUGUGGGGUGCUCGAGUGGCGAACGGGUGAGUAACACGUGAGUAACCUGCCCUUGACUUUGGGAUAACUUCAGGAAACUGGGGCUAAUACCGGAUAGGAGCUCCUGCUGCAUGGUGGGGGUUGGAAAGUUUCGGCGGUUGGGGAUGGACUCGCGGCUUAUCAGCUUGUUGGUGGGGUAGUGGCUUACCAAGGCUUUGACGGGUAGCCGGCCUGAGAGGGUGACCGGCCACAUGGGGACUAAGAUACGGCCCAGACUCCAACGGGAGGCAGCAGUGGGGAAUAUUGCACAAUGGGCGGAAGCCUGAUGCAGCAACGCCGCGUGCGGGAUGACGGCCUUCGGGUUGUAAACCGCUUUCGCCUGUGACGAAGCGUGAGUGACGGUAAUGGGUAAAGAAGCACCGGCUAACUACGUG